rnacentral:rRNA from 1 species
GACGAACGCUGGCGGCGUGCUUAACACAUGCAAGUCGAGCGGUAAGGCCCUUUCGGGGGUACACGAGCGGCGAACGGGUGAGUAACACGUGGGUGACCUGCCCUCAGCUCUGGGAUAAGCCUGGGAAACCGGGUCUAAUACCGGAUAUGACUCCAUGACGCAUGUUGUGGGGUGGAAAGCCUUGUGCGGCUGAGGAUGGGCCCGCGGCCUAUCAGCUUGUUGGUGGGGUGANGGCCUACCAAGGCGACGACGGGUAGCCGGCCUGAGAGGGCGACCGGCCACACUGGGACUGAGACACGGCCCAGACUCCUACGGGAGGCAGCAGUGGGGAAUCCUGCGCAAUGGGCGAAAGCCUGACGCAGCGACGCCGCGUGAGGGAUGACGGCCUCGGUUGUAACCC